rnacentral:rRNA from 1 species
UCUGCCUGGUAGUGGGGGAUAACGUUCGGAAACGGACGCUAAUACCGCAUACUUCCUACGGGAGAAAGCAUGGGACCUUCGGGCCUUGCGCUAUCAGAUGAGCCUAGGUCGGAUUAGCUAGUUGGUGAGGUUAUGGCUCACCAAGGCGACAUCCGUACUGGUCUCUGAGGAUGAUCAGUCACACUGGAACUGAGACACGGUCCAGACUCCUACGGGA